rnacentral:rRNA from 1 species
UACGGAGGGUCCGAGCGUUAAUCGGAAUUACUGGGCGUAAAGCGCGCGUAGGCGGCUAGGUCAGUCAGAUGUGAAAGCCCCGGGCUUAACCUGGGAAUUGCAUCUGAUACUGCUUGGCUAGAGUACAGAAGAGGGUGGUGGAAUUUCCUGUGUAGCGGUGAAAUGCGUAGAUAUAGGAAGGAACAUCAGUGGCGAAGGCGGCCACCUGGACUGAUACUGACGCUGAGGUGCGAAAGCGUGGGGAGCAAACAGG